GAUUUCUGACUGCGACCGGUUGAUCCGGCCAGGUUUCUGGUUGUGUAUCGAUUUCGUUUGUCCAGUCAUCCUUGUAUGUGUCUUCGCAAGAGGGUGCAUACAUCUUUUACUUUGAACAAAUUAGAGUGUUUCAAGCAGGCAGUUAUCGCUUUGAAUACAUUAGCAUGGAAUAAUCGUUUAGGACUUUGGUUCUAUUUCGUUGGUUUCGAGAGCUGAAGUAAUGAUUGAUAGGGACAGUCGGGGGUGUCCGAAUUGGGGGGCCAGAGGUGAAAUUCUUGGAUUCCUUCAAGACGAACUUAUGCGAAAGCACU
rnacentral:rRNA from 1 species